rnacentral:rRNA from 1 species
UACGUAGGGUGCGAGCGUUGUCCGGAAUUAUUGGGCGUAAAGAGCUCGUAGGCGGCUUGUCGCGUCGGAUGUGAAAGCCCCGGGGCUUAACCCCGGGUCUGCAUUCGAUACGGGCUGGCUAGAGUGUGGUAGGGGAGAUCGGAAUUCCUGGUGUAGCGGUGAAAUGCGCAGAUAUCAGGAGGAACACCGGUGGCGAAGGCGGAUCUCUGGGCCAUUACUGACGCUGAGGAGCGAAAGCGUGGGGAGCGAACAGG